UAGGCAGGUCUAGUAUAAGCAUCUAUACUGUGAAACUGCGAAUGGCUCAUUAAAUCAGUUAUCGUUUAUUUGAUAGUACCUUACUACUUGGAUAACCGUGGUAAUUCUAGAGCUAAUACAUGCUAAAAACCUCGACUUCGGAAGGGGUGUAUUUAUUAGAUAAAAAACCAAUGCCCUUCGGGGCUCCUUGGUGAUUCAUAAUAACUUAACGAAUCGCAUGGCCUUGUGCCGGCGAUGGUUCAUUCAAAUUUCUGCCCUAUCAACUUUCGAUGGUAGGAUAGUGGCCUACCAUGGUUUCAACGGGUAACGGGGAAUUAGGGUUCUAUUCCGGAGAGGGAGCCUGAGAAACGGCUACCACAUCCAAGGAAGGCAGCAGGCGCGCAAAUUACCCAAUCCCGACACGGGGAGGUAGUGACAAUAAAUACUGAUACAGGGCUCUUUUGGGUCUUGUAAUUGGAAUGAGUACAAUUUAAAUCCCUUAACGAGGAACAAUUGGAGGGCAAGUCUGGUGCCAGCAGCCGCGGUAAUUCCAGCUCCAAUAGCGUAUAUUAAAGUUGUUGCAGUUAAAAAGCUCGUAGUUGAACCUUGGGCCUGGCUGGCCGGUCCGCCUCACCGCGUGCACUGGUCCGGCCGGGCCUUUCCUUCUGGGGAGCCGCAUGCCCUUCACUGGGUGUGUCGGGGAACCAGGACUUUUACUUUGAAAAAAUUAGAGUGUUCAAAGCAGGCCUAUGCUCGAAUACAUUAGCAUGGAAUAAUAGAAUAGGACGUGUGGUUCUAUUUUGUUGGUUUCUACGACCGCCGUAAUGAUUAAUAGGGAUAGUCGGGGGCAUCAGUAUUCAAUUGUCAGAGGUGAAAUUCUUGUAUUUAUUGAAGACUAACUACUGCGAAAGCAUUUGCCAAGGAUGUUUUCAUUAAUCAGUGAACGA
rnacentral:rRNA from 1 species